rnacentral:rRNA from 1 species
UACGUAGGGCGCAAGCGUUGUCCGGAAUUAUUGGGCGUAAAGAGCUCGUAGGCGGCUUGUCACGUCGGGUGUGAAAGCCCGGGGCUUAACCCCGGGUCUGCAUUCGAUACGGGCAGGCUAGAGUGUGGUAGGGGAGAUCGGAAUUCCUGGUGUAGCGGUGAAAUGCGCAGAUAUCAGGAGGAACACCGGUGGCGAAGGCGGAUCUCUGGACCGGUUCUGACGCUCAGGCGCGAAAGCGUGGGGAGCGAUCCGG